rnacentral:rRNA from 1 species
CCUACGGGUGACAGCAGUGAGGAAUAUUGGUCAAUGGGCGCGAGCCUGAACCAGCCAAGUAGCGUGAAGGAUGACUGCCCUACGGGUUGUAAACUUCUUUUUUCAGGGAAUAAAGUGAGGCACGUGUGCCUGUCUGUAUGUACUUUAUGAAAAAGCAUCGGCUAACUCCGUGCCAGCAGCCGCGGUAAUACGGAGUAUCCGAACGUUAUCCGGAUUUAUUGGGUUUAAAGGGUGCGUAGGUGGGUUGUUAAGUCAGUUGUGAAAGUUCGCGGCUCAACCGUAGAAGUGCCAUUGAUACUGGCAGUCUUGAGUACAGAUGAGGUAGGCGGAAUGCGUGGUGUAGCGGUGAAAUGCUUAGAUAUCACGCAGAACUCCGAUUGCGAAGGCAGCUUACUAAACCGCGACUGACGUUGAUGCACGAAAGUGUGGGUAUCAAACAGGAUUAGAUACCCGAGUAGUC